GUUGUUCCACUGUCAAAGUGCCUCACUUGCCUGAUCAACUCAAGAAAAAAUGCACUUAUUUUAAGAAAAAAUUAUUUAGAUUUAAGUUUUUUUGCAGUGUACACAUUAAUGAAGGAUCUAACGACCUCUUCUGUUUCUUUUCUCUCAUUGUUUAUAGUUGGAUCACAGUCUGUGCCUAUAGCCCUAUUAUUAUACCGAGGUCAUGUCACCAUUUUAGUGGCUCUCAGCCCCAUGCUGUAAAGCAGCUUUAAAAUAUCCUGGACAUAAGUUUGUAGCAGCAGCAAUAGGCUUUGUUUUCGUGUGAACUCGAACAUCCGCAUGCGCAAUCCCGAUUAUUGUCAGUAAAUAAAUCUUUCAGAGCCCGCUGUUAUCACGCAAUGAUUGAUCUCCACUGAUCUGGGAAAAUAUUUCUCGCGGUCCAAAUCAAAGUGCGCGCGCGCUUGUAGGUGUGUAAUUGCCUCGCGAGGGAUGUAUGGAAUUCCCAGAUGUCAAGAAAUCCAAGAAGGCCGCGAAGGUGCGGGCUGGGACUCUGGGAAAGCAGAAGGGACUGGACUGAGUCAAUGCAAGGCUAUAUAACUAAGGGAAACUUACCCAUUCUGAGUGGUUUUGGUGGUAUAAAAGUUCAUUUUUUUAUGUAUUUGAAAAGCAGCCCCUCAUGCAGUGUAAAAAUGUGCCUUCCCCUUUCUCUCAGAAGAGAGGAGUUGGCAACUGACACGAUGCAGAGGCGCAGAAUGAAACCUAUUUAGAACAGAUGUUAGUAUUUUUUAAAAAGUCACGUGAAAUGAGCAGAUGUUCAGAGUUUGCAGAGACUCGCCGUGCAGCGCAUAGCUCUGCAGAGAGAGCUCCGAGCUGCUGGGCUCCAACACCACGGCCCUCAUACUGAAAACUUAAAAAAAAACAACUCAAUGUUCACAAAAUCUCAUCAAAUUUGGGGCUGUGGUGGAUUAAAAAUGGACUAUCUCCAGGAAACAACACAGACUGGCCGCCUGCCUUUGCUCAGACGACAAAAGGAGGAGCUUUGGUGCAGAAUGGAGACCCUUCAGUCCAUUGUCAGCCACGCUUCCAGGUCAGGUGUCCAAGAAAAUGCUAAACAACAGAUGAAAUUCCACAAAAGUAAAAAAAAAAAAAAAAAAAAAUGAUGUGUUUUGUUAACAUAAAAAAAUGUAAAUGUGAACUAAAUGUAACCUGAAAUGCUGAUUGUGCUGCUUUAUAUUUGUCAUAUUUCUGCUGUAUGGAGGAGUGAGGGCCAGUGUCCUGCGGGUUUUAAAACCUCCCUGCUUUAGCAUACCCAAUACAGAUGAUUUCAGUUCAGCAAAAGCCUGUUAAUCAGCCAUUAAUGGGAAUCAGGUGUGCUGAAUCAGGGAAGCAUCUGAAACAUGCAGGACAGUGACCCUCGGGGACUGACUUUGGACGUCCCCUGGCCAUAUAUUAUGAUUGUGUUUGAAGAUGCUUUUUGGAGAGAGCUUUUGUUAAACCAACUUCUACUGCAUGAUUCAAUGUCAUAGCACAUUCUUUGGCUUUAUAAGCACGUGAAAUAUAUAUUUUAUUGAUUGAAAAAAAAUGAACAAAUAACAUACCUUUGAAGAUGUUUUGAAUAACAUCUGAGCACAGUGCAGAAGCUGGAUAAUCAUUUUUGAGAAGUCUCUGUCAUUUAUCUCCUCUAUCUGCAUGCUGUCAGGCUGCUGGCCUCAUCCUUCUUGACACAGGCCCCAGCUGUUUGUGACCUUAGUGCUAAAUCAAGUUCAAAGAGGACCACUGGUGUUUGGCAGAUAGUUUUACAUGUGGGGCUGGGACAGGACCAUUUGUUUGGUCAACCUCUGGCUCCCUCUUUGAUUCGCAGCUAUCUGUGACCCCCUGGCAGAGCAGCACCAAUAAAGCCUCUAUAUUCAGGCACAAUACCUCAACUGAUAUAAUCAGCAACAUUGCUGACUUUACUUUUAAGCAACUGAUUACCUAUUCAUAUUGCUGAGUGUUCAUAUCUUUCAGAAAUGUAAAACAAUUGUGCAGCUUGCAGAAGUUUUCAUACCCUGGGAACCUUUUAGAGUUUGCCUUAAAGUUCAAUGAAUUUUAUUUUAACUUUAUAGAAUAGAACAACAUAAAAUGCUGAGUUUUACACAUAAAAAUCGGAAAGUGUGCCAUGUUGUUAAAACCUGAAACCUAAAACAUGAAAGUGAAUCCUGCUAAAUAUGUUGAUUCAAUUCACAAUUCAACAAAAUACUGUAUUAAUCCCAAAGCAAAAUGAAAUAAAAGGAAAACUGGGUGACCUGUAUGUAGGAAUGACAAUUUCCACAUAGUAAAUUCUUACUCUGUGCAUCACCCUGAAAGCAUCAUUCCCAUAAUAAAACAUCAACGUGGCAACGUUUUUAGGAGGGAAUGCUUUCUUUCAAAAGAGACAGAGAAACUUGACAGUGAAGAAUUAUAGUAAUUAUAAUUUUAGGGGGAAAAAACUUUACUGCCAAGCAAACUGUGAGGAAUUUGCAUUGGUCACAAGAUGCUUCACCUUAACAUACAGUUGACUAAAUAUAUAAAUAUAUAUCAUAUAUAUUAUGCAGCGCAGUCCUGGAGGAAAAUCUGUGGGAGUCAAUAAAACAAUUGAUACUUUGGUUGCAGUUUACCUCCCAAAAGCACAUCUACUUUAAACAUAGAGCCAGAAAUACAACCAAACUGUUUGGAUAGGAAAUAAUAUGUAUUUUUUUUUAUUGUAAUUCCAGACCAUAAUCUAACAGAAGGGCUGCAUGGUGGCGGAGUUUGUAGCACUGUUGCCUUGCAGCAAGAAGGUUGUGGGUUUAAUUCAUACAAAUAAUCUUCACACCUUCUGAUUUUUAUCAGCUAAAACAAUUUAAACCGAUGCAAUUAACAGCUAUGCACUAUGUUGUGUUGGUCUAUCAAUCAUAAUUCUGAUAAGCCACACUGAAGAUCUUACAUAAUGUAUUACACUUCAUUAGUAUGAGUAACUUUAAAGUUGAAAAACCUUGAAGCUUCAAUAAGCAGAAUAAGCACACCAGUUUUACAUCAACUAAACAUUUAUCCCAGAUUAAACUGGUGCAUUUUCCUGAGGAAUAUGAAAGGGAAAAAAAUAAUGUUUUCUGAUUCAGAGAACCAAUUUCAUAUGUUUAGAGUGUGUGCACCUCCAAUACUGUUAAACCAUAUGUAGCUCUACUAAGAUAUAAGAAUCAUCUUUCACAUGGCAGCAGCACUUCAGCUUCUUUAUCAGUGGAGAACAUUUUCAAGAGAAGGACAUGCAUUUUUCACCAUAAAUACCUGAACAAAAUUAGAAACCCAUCAGGAAUAACAGUCCUGUGUAUGAUUUGCAUUGCAAGUGUGUUAUCACAUUAAAAGAAUAAAUAAAACAUUGCAAUUUGAUCUGUAUUGCUGCAACGCAAAACUGAAGAAUUAAUAAAAUGACAUGCUGAUUCAAAGCAGUCUUCGAGUGCUUCACUGUAGAAGGUAUUAUGUGUUCGUUAUGCUACCUAAUAUUAUGGAUUUUUAUUUACAUGACGCAGCACUUUAUUUUAGGACUAUAAGCUCAGCAUGUAGCUGAAGUUACAUUAGAAAUGGUGAUUAUUUCAAAAGGCAAUUCCAUUUAGAUCGGAAACUUUUUCCUAAUCUUAAAAUACUACAGAAAUAUGGAUUUUUUUCUACUCCUUGCAAACUACUAACUAUGACUAAUUU